AACGAACGCUGGCGGCAUGCCUAACACAUGCAAGUCGAACGAGACCUUCGGGUUUAGUGGCGCACGGGUGCGUAACGCGUGGGAACCUGCCCUUAGGUUCGGAAUAACUCCCCGAAAGGGGUGCUGAUACCGGAUAAUGUCUUCGGACCAAAGAUUUAUCGCCUUUGGAUGGGCCCGCGUUGGAUUAGCUAGUUGGUAGGGUAAAAGCCUACCAAGGCGACGAUCCAUAGCUGGUCUGAGAGGAUGAUCAGCCACACUGGGACUGAGACACGGCCCAGACUCCUACGGGAGGCAGCAGUGGGGAAUAUUGGACAAUGGGCGAAAGCCUGAUCCAGCAAUGCCGCGUGAGUGAUGAAGGCCUUAGGGUUGUAAAGCUCUUUUACCCGGGAUGAUAAUGACAGUACCGGGAGAAUAAGCUCCGGCUAACUCCGUG
rnacentral:rRNA from 1 species